CAGCAGCCGCGGGAAUACGUAGGUUGCAAGCGUUGUCCGGAAUUAUUGGGCGUAAAGGGCUCGCAGGCGGUUUCUUAAGUCUGAUGUGAAAGCCCCCGGCUCAACCGGGGAGGGUCAUUGGAAACUGGGAAACUUGAGUGCAGAAGAGGAGAGUGGAAUUCCACGUGUAGCGGUGAAAUGCGUAGAGAUGUGGAGGAACACCAGUGGCGAAGGCGACUCUCUGGUCUGUAACUGACGCUGAGGAGCGAAAGCGUGGGGAGCGAACAGGAUUAGAUACCCGUGUAGUCCCUGUCUCUUAUAC
rnacentral:rRNA from 1 species